rnacentral:lncRNA from 1 species
CACCCAAAAAAAUAAAAUUGUUUUAUAUGCAUUACGGAAUAACACAUAUAAAUAUAUAUACCACUUGUUAUAUGAUAAGUGAUAACUAAUCGAAAAAAUAGUAAAACCUUGGAGAGAAAACCAUCCAUGGCGAGUUUAUAGUUGCUGUCUGGAUCUUCAUAUGCACAAACCCUCUCAUCGACCCAAAAGACGUGCCACUUUGACCAUUCGAUUGAAUCUUUGUAAGGAGGUUCCAAUAGCUUGCUGCAACAUUUGAUUAAUCAAAACAUCAUAUAUUAUUAGAUUUUCCUAUUAAAAAAAAAGAAGAAGGAGAGUGAAAUAGGGAAGAUUUGUAGACCAGAGCCAGUCGAUGAGGCCACCGCCGGAGAGAACAACAGUGAAAAGGCCUUUCUCCUUACAGAACUUGGCCGAGAGAUGGGCAGUGUACUUAGCCAUUGCUACCGACAAUUCAUCCUUGGUCUGAAACACAUGCCACUUCCUGUGCCUAGCUUCUGUCAUUGUUACCUAUAAGAAAAGUUUCUUUGUAUAUGUUGUUAAUUAAGGAUUGGGGUUUCUUGCUUUUUAUAAAGAUCUAGUGGUUAUUGGAGCUGCUUGUGACUUUUGAGUUAGGUGGAAAACGUGACUUUUUGUGGUGGAUUAUCACUGGACGUAUUGUCGUUCUCACUUUUGUUUUUUGUUUUUAUUUUCUACUAAUUACUUUUAUACGCUUCUGCUAGAGAAUAUGCUCUACAAACAGUUUGUGAAAUCAAAUGAUGGAUUAUGCUUUUUGUUUCAAAUCCUUAAAGCUGGAAAUCAACAUUGCAUUCCAGGUAAUUUCACACGAGAUACUAUUCACCAUUACAAUUUGUCACAAUUUUGUUUUUUAAAUAAUACGAAGCAGAAUCUUUAAUCUCUUUUACAGCUUACAUGUUGCAUUUUGUAUCAUAUGUCUAUAAGAAAAUAAAAGAAUGAGUUUUGUCCUCCUCAAAAUUCUCUAUCGUUCAAGUUCCCGACCGUUAUGGAAGGAGAAGUAGUUGAUAAGUCAUGGACCUGGUCAGAAGGGAUUAAUUCGAGGCCAAUCUACGAUAAAAUGAUUUUAAAGUGGCAUUGGACUUCUACCGGUGACAAACAGGAAAGAGCUCAUAGUACUUGACUACUGUCAUUUUUCAUGUGUUGGUUGGUUUAGUUUCUUCUUCCUCUUUAAUCUCGUGUCCUACUAUUUCAUAAAUGCCAUUUUUGUUUUGUCUUUUUUUUCUCUCUCUCACAUGUUUAACGAAUGUAACUUACUCUGCCAACAAAGUAGUUACAACAUAAAUUUACUUUGGAAAACGGAACUCUACUUUCUGAAUAUGUGAACUAGAUUCAAAGUUCUAACCACCAACUUCAAUUUUCUCUACUAUACUUUCUUCAUGUAAAACGUGUUCUCUACCGAACUCAGAAUUGUUGUUUACUUCGUUACACUCAGUUUUAACAUCUUACAUGAAUUGUGUUGCAGGGCAUAUGAAGUAUUUUUUUUAUUUCAUAUCUACUUUUAUUCUAUUUUGAAAAAAAAAAAAUUUGUGUUGGGUUGGAGAUGUCCUUAGGACCUUGAGCCAGUCCUGGCUGCAUAAUGUAAUAUGGGGAUGAAAAGUACACGUGAGAUAUUUUUUUUUGACGACCUACACGUGAGAUAUAUGUGUUGCACUGCAUCAUGUAAUAUGGUUCAAUCAACUGUGAAGCAACGUUUUUGUAAUAAUCGUAGUUGCCUAGUUGGUUGCUAAAUACGUUUUGUUUGGUCAAAGAAUUUCACUUAACCGCUUCGCUAUUGAUUCCUAGCAUUUCGGGAUGCACCAAACAACUUUGAGAAGUAUAAUCGAUUAUGCAAACCGAACCAAAAAAUAACACCCCUCCAAGUUCCUCCUAUAACAUAUACUAGCUUAUGGAAAUGUGGUGGAGGACGAGGAAGGAUUAGUAGCCAUUACUACUAGUUAUUUCAGACAAAUUUUCGAAUCUGCAAAUCCGGAGGAUAUAGCAGAGGCGCUGAAAAAUGUCUCCACAACGAUAACAGGGACAAUAAAUGAGGAUCUUACAGCUCCAGUUACUGAAUGAGAAGUUAAAUUAGCGCUCUUUGCCAUGCACCCAGAGAAAGCACCAGGGCCAGAUGGGAUGACAGCUAUGUUCUAUCAGCAGUUUUGGGACAUUGUCAAAGAGGAUUUAACCCGUAUGGUUAAUCAAUUUCUUUUUGACGGAACAAUGGCCCAGGGGCUAAAUGAUACCAAUAUCUGCCUAAUUCCUAAAACGGAGAAGCCCAAUGAGAUGUCUAAGUUCAGACCGAUCAGCCUGUGCAAUGUCAGCUAUAAGAUUAUAUCUAAGGUCUUAUGCCAAAGAUUAAAGAAGGUUCUUCCCCAAAGAAUAUCUGAAACCCAGUCAGCCUUUGUUGCGGGUAGACAGAUAACUGACAAUAUAAUGAUAGCUCAGGAGAUGUUCCAUGCGCUUAGGACUAAGCCAGCUGGGAGAGUCAAGAGAAUGGCCAUCAAAACAGAUAUGAGUAAAGCAUAUGAUAGAAUGGAAUGGUCUUUCAUCGAGGCGGUUAUGCGGAAGAUGGGUUUCUCAGAGAUUUGGAUUAGCUGGAUUAUGCGAUGCAUUACCUCGGUUAAGUAUAAAGUCCUGAUGAAUGGGGAACCUAGGGGAAAUAUUGUUCCAGGGAGAGGUUUACGUCAAGGAGAUCCUUUGUCUCCUUUCAUAUUUAUUCUAUGCACGGAAGCGCUCGUUGGCCUUCUUAAUCAAGCAGAGAGUCAAGGGAAGAUAACGGGGAUGCGCGUUGCACGCGCUAGCCCCUCGGUAUCACACCUUCUCUUUGCUGAUGAUAGCCUUUUCUUCUGUAAGGCGAAGCCCCGUGAAUGUGAAGAAGUUAUGAAAGUAGUCAGGAAGUAUGGAAAAGCAUCAGGUCAAUGCAUUAAUUUUGAGAAGUCCUCAUUACUCUUUGGUAAGAGGGUCGCAGUGAAUGAUAGACAACAAAUCAAAGACACUCUCGGGAUUCAGAAUGAAGGGGGAAUGGGAAAGUAUCUGGGAAUACCAGAAGAUAUUAGCGGAUCCAAGUGCAAGCUUUUCGCUUUCCUAAAAGAAAAACUUUCACAUCGAGUGAACGGUUGGACAGGCAGGUGGCUAUCGAAAGGAGGAAAGGAAGUUCUGAUCAAAUCUAUCCUCUUAGCUCUUCCCACAUACGUAAUGUCAAGUUUCUUACUCCCUUUGGAGAUUUGUGAGAACCUUGCAAGUGCCAUUGCACAGUUUUGGUGGAGUUCAAACCCGCCAAAAAGAGGGAUUCACUGGGCUAAAUGCGAAAAGAUGUGUGCUCCUAGAGAGGAGGGUGGAGUGGGUUUCCGCAUGAUCCAUGAAUUUAAUCUAGCACUGCUAGCGAAACAACUCUGGCGCCUUGUUCCGUACCCCGAUUCAUUAGUAGCAAGAGUCCUCAAAGGGAAAUAUUACCGCCUCAGUUCGCCUUUGCGAAUCGCGGCGGUGGAUAACCCAUCCUACGUGUGGACGAGUAUAUCAGCAGCGAAGAAGCUUUUGCUUUUGGGUAUUAGGAGUAAAGUGCACUCAGGAUACGAAAUCAAUGUCUGGCAGGAUCCGUGGAUUCCUUCGACGCCAGCUAGGCCGGCCCGCCCUAGGGUACCAGUCGUAAAUCCAAAGAUGCUUGUAAGUAGUCUUAUAAGUUCGGAAUCAAAGGAAUGGGAUGCUAGGAUACUGGCACAGUAUGUUGAGCAAGAGGAUAUACAGCUGAUUAUGAGUUUGGCCAUAAGCCCAACACAUCGCAGAGAUUCUUUCUGCUGGAGCUACACUAAAAACGGCCAAUACACGGUUAAGUCUGGAUAUUGGGUUGCUACAAAUAUAUUGGAUGCGGAGGAGGAAGCUGAAGUCAAACAACCUAGCAUCGCUGAACUUCAAGCCUUUGCUUGGAAAGUGAACGCACCUCAGAAAAUUCGUCAUCUUAUAUGGCAAUUAAUUUCGGGACAGGUAGCAGUAACAAGGAACUUAAUACGUCGUAAUCUGCGGUGUGAUGAUUACUGCCCAAGAUGUGGAGAGCCGAGAAAAAUGUAACCCAUGCGAUCUUUGAAUGUCCCCCAGCGUUACAAGUAUGGGAGCUAUCAUCUACGCCGUCAAACCACCAAACUUUCCCCAUAUCGAGUAUGUAUGCCAAUAUGGACUACCUUUUCUGGAGGAAAAAUACAAUUAGAAGGCCAGAAGAUGAUAGAGACCCUUAUCCCUGGAUAAUCUGGUACAUCUGGAAGGCGAGGAAUGAUAAGCUAUUCAGGGGGAUUGACAGGGACUCUCUGGAACUGGUCAGGUAUGCAGAGAGUGAAUGUCAGGCUUGGUAUAAUGCUAAGGAGUCUAUACCUAAUCCCCCUCAGGCACCAAACACUGAAGUGAUACAAGCCUUAAGCUUGAAUAAUAUGUGCAUGGUGGAUGGCUCUUGGACAUCCACAGAUCUAUUCAGUGGAAUUGGUUGGGUAUGGAAAGAUAAUACGGGAAAGAUCCAACUUAUGGGAACACGGAAUUUGAGGAGGCGGGAGACAGCACUACACUCGGAAUUGGAAGCAUUAAAAUGGGCAUUCGAAAGCAUGCUUCAACAUUCAAACUGCCAACACUUUGGUACAGAUUGCAAGGACCUGAUAGCUAUGAUAAACGAACCUCAAGCCUGGCCAAAGUUUUCAACGGAGCUGGAAGCCAUUCAAAUCAUCCUCAUGUGUUAUUCGGACUUCAAGAUCACCUACGUGCCAAGAACACAGAAUGAAAUUGCUGAUUCUUUAUCUAGGAAUGCUCGAUCUUUUCAUAGAUCUCUUUGUUUUAUUGGUUGUUCUAUUCCGGUCUGGCUACCCAGACCACCUCAUGUUUGAGUAAUAGAAUAGCCGUUUGUUGACAAAAAAAAAACAUAUACUAGCUUAAUUUUGAUUUAGGUGAUGAUUGUUUCAGUUUUUAGUUUUAGUUUUUGGUUUUAAGAUUUUGGUUUUUAGUUUGGUUUUCAACUUUUGGUUUUUGGUUUAAAUUAGUAAAUUAUAUUAACAUUUUAAGCUGCCACGUAAGUUAUAUUGACAUCUUAAUUUUUAAGCUGUCACGUAAUUUAUAUUGACAUCUUAAUUAAAUGAUACAUACGCAUGAUCUUUUUUUUUAAUUAGUACAAACUUAAAGUUACAAUUUUUUAAAUGUUCCUCAAUUAAUAUAUAGGGGAUUCCCUAGCCAUUUAAUUUAGAUUAACAAAAUUCUCAAUUGAUUUUCAAGUCAUCACGUAAACAAAUUAACAUUCCAAUUACAUGAUGAUAUAUAUGGACCAACAUAUUUUUCUAAAGAUUCUAAGAAUGGUUGUGGUGAUGAAAUGUAGAUACAAAAAUAUGUUAUAAUAUUUCUCUUUUAAUACAUAGAGGAUAUACAAAAUGAAUGACAUGUGUCUUUGUACAAGGUGUUCAAAAAAAAAGUAUCUUUAUACAAAAAUUUAUUAUAAACGACCAUGCAUUUUAUGUAACUAAAAGUUUCAUAUGUUUCAUAAACUUCUGAAAGUUGUAAUUCAUGUGUCUCUAUUCUUUUCAUUUACUACAAAUCGUGUAAAAUAUGUUUUCUUAUAUACAAAUAAAAAUCUCUCAUGGAUAUGGUCAUAUCUGAUAUGACCAUACUCGACCAUUCAUCUCAUUUACUAACAGGGUGAUGACUUUUAAAUAAAUUUCCUCCAGUCAUUUUUCAUGUGUCAAGAACUUUUUUUUCUAAAUGUCAUGAACUAUUUGUUAAAUCGUAUUAGCCUUAUUUGAAUUUCUGCUCUAUUUUUAUUAUAGGAUUGCAUCUUUAUAUAUUAAAACACAUAUGGCAUUUGGAGAAGAUGAAGAUGGGUGUGUUCAAAAUAUCACCUAAAAUAUUAGUCGUUUGUUAAAAAAAAAUCAUAAUAUUAUAGUGAUUGUAACAAUAUUUGGAAAACAUUUUGAAAAAAAAACUAUCAAGGAAAAUCUAUUCCAAUAUUAAGCAAUAUUAUUCAAAAAAAGAUUAAGGAUUAUACCCGCAACAAUAUUGGUUGCACAUUUAAAACAUCAUAAUAUUGUAAUCCUAUAAUUUAGUGAUUGUAAUCAUUAUUGGAAACAAAGUAAUGGAAUAUACGGGAUAUCUAUUCUAAUAUAAAUAAGUAUCAUUCAUCAUAUAUCAUUGUUUUGUCUCUGAUCUUAUAAUUCACAAUCACGUAAUUGUAAGGAAACAAUUGAUUUGUUGAAUCAUAUGACCUUCUUCUUUGAUUCGCCCUUAAAUAUAUCGAGCAUCUAUAAGCUUGAUCUUCACUGAGUUUCAACAUCGUAUGAGUCGAUUAAUCUACCCCUUAUUAUUGUGUUUCAUUUUCAUAACCUGAUGUCUCAAGCAACAUGCACCAAUCUUAAGAACUGAUUCACCGAUUGAAUUUGAUGAGUUAGAGGAGCACAGUUUUGGCUUUAACAGAAAAAAAUCUAGAGUUGACCUGAUUUACCUUUGCUCAAAAGUAACUUUAUGGAUUAACUAAUUAAACUCAAAAGCUAACUAUAUGAAACCCAAUAUAUAUUUUCUAGAUAGACCUUUUUAUUUUAACAAAAUUAUGUUCACGAUAUUUUUUUUCUUUGUAAACACAAUAUGUUUCAAAUAUAGCCCAAAAUUAUUUUUGUCUUUUAUUAUUUCUGAAUUUUAAUUAAAAUGUUACAAAAUGUUAGAACUAAAAGAAUAUAAAAUAAUGAUGUCUCUGUAUAAAACUGAAACAUAACCAAUACAAAGCUAUGAAUUUUGUUUUUAAUUUUAAUAGAUGUAUUAAUUUACACAAACAAUCCAAAUUGUAUGCUUUAUAAAAAAAAUACACUUGAAAAAUGGUAAAUUUGUAAAACAAAUGCCAAAUACCAAAUGAUUUAUCUAACAUACAACUUUAGUUAUUUGAACAUAAAUAACUCGUAUCAACAAAUACAAAAAUAAACAUUUAAAAUACAUGAAACAACCAUAAUUUUGAAACAUAAAAAAUAAAAGAACACCACGCGGUUGCGCAGCUCUAGUUAAAGCUUCUUUAGUUACACUCAAAAGGGUUUAUAUUUUGUAGUUUGUUUAUUUAAUUCGGGAUUUAUAUUUCGUACAUUAGGAAACUUUUUUUUUGCAAAAGAUUAGGAAACUAUUUAGUAAUUGUUUUCUUCAUUUCAUUUUCCCAGAGGACUUUGAUUUUAGGUUUUUAUAAUAGAGAUGCAGCUUGGUUGUAAGACUCAUCUAAGCUAGAUAACUUGAAGGGUUUAGCUGUAUUAAAUCAGUGAUCAGCAUACUGGAUAUAUGUUCACAAAUCAAAGACAAUGCUAUAGCUAUAGCUUUAUCUAUCUUAUUAAAACUCAAGUACAAAAUUGGAGUGUUUGGAGACUUGAAUAGGACUUUUAAAAAUUUGGAGUGUUUGGAAACAUGGAUUGCAGUCUUUAAAAAAAAAAAUAUUUUUGUUUGAAAACAAGGAUAGUAGUAUUAAGAAAAAAAGUAAUGGGCUUAUGUUUUUUUAAAAAAUUGAAAGUUAUCUAGGCCACUUUUAAAAUAUACCAAAAUGGGUCAAUCUAAUUCCCUAAAAUUUUUUUUUCUAAACUAACCAUAAAACAAAAUUUAAACUUUAUAUACAUAUUUCAAAUCAAAAUAAUAAUUCAAAUUUGAUUUAUAUCAAAAAUUGAUUCAAAAAUAUACAUAUAUUCAAAAAUGGAUUUUUACUAAACUAUUUUUCAAUAACCAUUAUAAAAAAAUAUUGUCAAUAUAUAUAAGAAAAAUAUAAUACAAAGCCCAAUUUGAAAUACCAACUCAAAUUAUGGUUUUCAUAUUUCAUAUUAAGUUUUAAAAAUAUAAUAUAUGUAAUUAUUUAUAUGAUGGUAUGUAUAAAAUACUAUUAAUUAUAUGAUUACUUAUAUGGUGGUACAUAUAAAAUACGAUUAAUUAUAUGAUGAUAAAAUACGAUAUAUAAUAAUGACUAGGGAUGGGCUUUUGGAUACCCAUACGGGUUUAGUUCUGAUCGGUUUGUAUUUUGGGUUUUCGGGGUCAAAGAUUUCAGCCUUAUUAGAAUGUUUCUAAAUUUUGGUUUGAGUUCGAUUUGGAUCUUUGCGGGUUUUGUUUGGGUUUGGAUAACUAAUUUAAAUUAUUUUUAAAGUCUUAAAUCCUUAUAUAUUUUAAAUUUCUCAAAAUGUAUAAAUAAAAUAAUAUAUUACGUAUAAAUUUGAAUAACAUAUGUCAUAAUACUUAAGCUUAACAUAUCAAUUGGCUUGAUUUAAAAUUUUGGAUACGAAAUCAAUAAUUAUUUUAAGUAUUUUUGGUGAUUUGAGUAUACUUUAACUAUUUCAGAUAUUUACUUUUGACUAUCUAUAUAUAUUUUCAAGUAUUUAAACCAAUUUAAAAGUAUCAUUUUUGAUGUUUUAUAUACGUUAAAUCUAAAAAUAAUUAAUAUAUAUAAGUAUAUAAAUCUAUUUUUAGAUAAAUUCGGAUACCCAAAUACUUCGGUUCGGAUCAGAUUCGGUUCUCUAAAUAACAAAAUUUUGAAUAAUUAGAAUAUUUAAUCAAUUUAUGUUUGGGUUUGGUACUAUAUCUUUGGAUCGGUAUCGGUUAUGUUCCUCGGAUUCAUUUUUCCAAAUCCUAAUAAUUACAUGAAAAAUAAAUAUCAACAUAUUUUUCAAAAUAUAUACCCGCGCGCCUGCGCGGGUCAAAAUCUAGUUUAUUAUUAUUAUAGCACAACAUCACAGACUCAAACAAGUUACACAACUAGAGAGAAACAACAAAUCGGCGUUUCGAUAGAUUUGGUACAUAACAUAUGUACGCAAAAUGCAUUAUUAUUAGCCGGUUAUUCAACACAAAUGCAUGCAAACAGCAACAGCUCGAUCGGUCCACAAAGCAGCAAAGAGAGAUUAUUAUUCAUAUAAAGGACACCAAUAUGAAGGUGUUUGACUCUCUAAAGCUUCGAGGCAGCUGCUUGGUCGAGGUACCACAUUUCUUCGACUUGAGCAGUAAGAUUAGCAGCAGGUAAGGCGAGAUUGUUGUUCUUAAAGAUCUCAGCAAUGGAACGUGGACAUUGCUCUGUGUGGUCGUCGCAAACGGCCAUGAGAUUGUACAAAGCCGAGUUGAUGACCGGUAAAGUGAAUGUGAUUCUUUUUCGUGGCGGUUUUGGAGAGUCGGUGAUGUAAGUGACCCAUUUGUCAAUCACAUGGAUCUGAGGAUGUCCAGGAAAGAGAGACGCCAUGUGGCCAUCAGGACCCAUCCCUAGAAGCUGGAGAUCGAACUGAGGAUAUUGAUACUUGCCAUAUGUACAUAGUGGAAGUAUGUUUUGCUUCACCAGUUUCCUCAAGCACUCCUCGUAGAGCAUCGCGCAGUUCUCCGCGUCACCAUCAGCUGCAUAGUGUUUGUCGAUAGCGUAGAUGUUCUCAUUUGGAAUCCCAACCUAAAUUAAGUUUACCCAAAAAAUAAAAUCUCUCUAGUAUAUAUAACCAAAAAAAACGAUUUGCGUUUUUUUACAUGGUCAUCAGUUGAUAUGCAUAAUGAAAUAAUAUAUACCACUUGUUAUGUGAUACGUGAUAACAAAUCGAAGAUAUUAAUAACAACAAUAAUAAAACCUUGGAGAGAAACCCAUCCAUGGCGAGUUUGUAGUUGCUGUCUGGAUCUUCAUAUGAACAAACCCUCUCGUCCACCCAAAAGACGUGCCACUUUGACCAUUCGACACUAUCUAUGUAAGGAGGUUCCAACAACUUGCUGCAACAUUUGA